AGAACGAACGCUGGCGGCAUGCCUAACACAUGCAAGUCGAACGAGACCUUCGGGUCUAGUGGCGCACGGGUGCGUAACGCGUGGGAACCUGCCCUUAGGUUCGGAAUAACUCCUCGAAAGGGGUGCUAAUACCGGAUGAUGUCUUCGGACCAAAGAUUUAUCGCCUAUGGAUGGGCCCGCGUUGGAUUAGCUAGUUGGUGAGGUAAAGGCUCACCAAGGCGACGAUCCAUAGCUGGUCUUAGAGGAUGAUCAGCCACACUGGGACUGAGACACGGCCCAGACUCCGUACGGGAGCAGCAGUGGGGAAUUGGAGACAGGCGGCAAGCCUGACUCCAGCAAUCGCCGCGUGCGAGGAG
rnacentral:rRNA from 1 species